rnacentral:rRNA from 1 species
UACCAGCUCUCCGAGUGGUGUGGAUGUUUAUUGGGCCUAAAGCAUCCGUAGCUGGCUGGACAAGUCCCCUGUUAAAUCCACCGAUUUAAUCGUUGGUGUGCGGGGGAUACUGUUCGGCUAGGGGACGGGAGAGGCCGACGGUAUUUCCGGGGUAGGGGUGAAAUCCUAUAAUCCCGGGAAGACCACCAGUGGCGAAGGCUGUCGGCUAGAACGCGCCCGACGGUGAGGGAUGAAAGCUGGGGGAGCGAACCGGAUUAGAUACCCGGGUAGUCCCAGCUGUAAACGAUGCAGGCUAGGUGUUUGGGCGGCCACGUGCCGCUCUAGUGCCGCAAGGAAGCUGUUAAGCCUGCUGCCUGGGGAUACGGCCGCAAGGCUGAAACUUAAGGAAUUGGCGGGGAGCACCACAAGGGGUGAAGCUUGCGGUUU